rnacentral:rRNA from 1 species
GACAGAGGGUGCAAACGUUGUUCGGAAUUACUGGGCGUAAAGCGCGUGUAGGCUGCUUCGAAAGUCGGAUGUGAAAGCCCUGGGCUCAACCUAGGAAGUGCAUUCGAAACUUCGGAGCUGGAGUUCUGGAGAGGAAGGCGGAAUUCUCGGUGUAGAGGUGAAAUUCGUAGAUAUCGAGAGGAACGCCGGUGGCGAAGGCGGCCUUCUGGACAGUGACUGACGCUGAGACGCGAAAGCGUGGGGAGCAAACAGG